rnacentral:lncRNA from 1 species
GAAGGGUAAUUGAAAUACUAAAUUUGCAGGAGAAAGCUUUAACAAUUCUUAUUUAAUUUUUUUUUUUUCCUUUUUACAUUAACAAAAAAGCAUGCAUAAUAACAAGAAUAAAGACAACACUUCCCCUCUCUUAAUUUGCGUUGUGGCAAAUUCUAGCAGUUGGAUUUGACACACAAACUUGAUAGUACUUCUUCUUGGCUUCUGGGGAGCCGCGCUUCGGCUCCUCGUCGGCCAUGGCGGCCUUUGCCACUGAGCUAGCGGCAACGGCCGCCAUGGCAAAGAACAACUCUCUCCGGCCACUGUUGUUGCUCUCUUUCUUGUUGCUUAUUACAAUAUUUUCUCCCUCACAUGGCACCUUUGAACUUGCCUUCACCAUGACAACCCCGCGGCGGUUCGCGGCCGGGACUUUGGUCAAGGCCGCGACGGAGCCGCCGGCCAAGGAGGUUGUCAUUGUCAUUGAAGCCAUUUGAUCAACCCAAAAAUUUUCCUAGUUUGAUUGCUUAUUACUUGCUUUCUGUUUUGUGCAAAGGAAUGG